GUCGGUCCAGUGGUUAGAGCUUCCGCCUCAGAUGCGGAAGGUCGUGGGUUCCCCUGAUGAGUCAUACCAAAGACU